UGGGGAAUAUUGGGCAAUGGGCGAAAGCCUGACCCAGCAACGCCGCGUGAAGGAAGAAGGCUUUCGGGUUGUAAACUUCUUUUGACAGGGAAGAGCAGAAGACGGUACCUGUCGAAUAAGCCACGGCUAACUACGUGCC
rnacentral:rRNA from 1 species